rnacentral:lncRNA from 1 species
GGAAACUAACCUUUUUUCUAUAAUAAAAAAAAAAAAGAAAGAAAAAAACCUUUUUAGCUAAUUUUCUUCUUAUCACUGCUCGUCUCAAUCAACUAACUUUUGACAAUGAAGCUAUAUAUCUUUUUGAUCAACUAACAUUUUGACAACGAAGCUAAUUUUCUUCAUAGCUAUAUAUCUUUGGUUGGAUGCCGAAAACUAACCUUUUUUUUUUUGCUAGACAACAAAGUGCACCUCAGUUGAUAAGACGUUUCCCCUGCAAUCGAUAGGUCGGGGGUUCGAGUCACUAAAUGGGAAAAAGGGGAACCAUUAUUGAUUCUCUUAAAAAAAAACCUAACCUUUUUGCUAAUUUUCUUCUUACCUCUGCUCGUCUCGAUCAACUUUCCGAUUUAAUCCUCCCUCUCUCCUUAUCUUAGCUUGUCUCUGGCCAGCUGAGAAAGAUUUGAUUAAGGUAGAAUUUGACAUAUUUGAACAAGUCAAAACAGAGUUGGGAGGGAUCAUAAACCACAAAUUCAACAAGUUAUAUAUUUUAUUGCGUAGGUUGAAUAGAAACAAUAAAAUACUCAAUUUUCAAUUAAUGAGACGUGGUUGUAGAGAAGCUUCAAAACAAACACAAACAUAACAAGUCAACACCGAAGGAUUAUUGAUCCUUCAAAACAAACAAAACAAACACAAACAGAAAAAAUCAGCUCAAGUUUAUUUUUCUUGGCAAAAAAAUAAAGAAAGAAAAAUCAUAGAAAGAAAUGGGCCUUGCUGCUUGUAGAGGAGCUUGAGUAAUCGACAAAUCACACUGUGACAGACUCUAAAUCUUCUUCUUAUUUAUCAUAUUUUCAAUUGAUACAACUAAUUCUGAUUCCAUUUUGACAAGAGCAAAUAAGAAAGCAAAAUAAAUUUGGAUUCAGUAAACGAGAGUUAAGAUAACAUACCUUAGCUGCUUGCGACGGAAGGCGGUGUCUACUGUGAUUAGAUUUGGAGCUCUGAAUAGUGAAUUUCGUUCGAGCAAAAUUACGGAUUUAGAAUGUUUUUUUUUUUUUUUUUCGAAAUUAGGGAUUUUGUGUGAGAAAGUUGUGAUUAAUUUAUUAGAUGCUCAGUUGAAGAAGCCAAAUAAUGUGCAUAUUUAACAAACACUAAUAAAAUAAUAAUAUCGCCAGCUCAUCCCGAGCCAGCUGAAGUGUUGACUUGUUGUUUCACACAUAAAAUUUGAAGGGAUAACCCCUAAAAAAAAAUAAAAAA